rnacentral:rRNA from 1 species
GACGAACGCUGGCGGCGUGCCUAAUACAUGCAAGUUGAGCGCUGAAGGUUGGUACUUGUACCCACUGGAUGAGCAGCGAACGGGUGAGUAACGCGUGGGUAAUCUGCCUUUGAGCGGGGGACAACAUUGGGAAACGAAUGCUAAUACCGCAUAAAAACUUUAAACACAAGUUUUAAGUUUGAAAGAUGCAAUUGCCGCACUCAAAGAUGAUCCCGCGUUGUAUUAGCUAGUUGGUGAGGUAAAGGCUCACCAAGGCGAUGAUACAUAGCCGACCUGAGAGGGUGGUCGGCCACAUUGGGACUGGGACCCCGCCCAAACUCCUACGGGAGGCCGCAGUAGGGGAUCUUCGGCAAUGGACGAAAGUCUGACCGAGCCACGCCGCGUGAGUGAAGAAGGUUUUCGGAUCGUAAAACUCUGUUGGUAGAGAAGAACGUUGGUGAGAGUGGAAAGCUCAUCAAGUGACGGUAACUACCCAGAAAGGGACGGCUAACUACGUG